rnacentral:rRNA from 1 species
UACAGAGGUGGGCAAGCGUUGUUCGGAAUUACUGGGCGUAAAGGGCGCGUAGGCGGCCCGCUAAGUCGAACGUGAAAUCCCCGAGCUCAACUCGGGAACUGCGUCCGAUACUGGCGGGCUUGAAGUCCGGGAGAGGGAUGCGGAAUUCCGAAGGUGUAGCGGUGAAAUGCGUAGAUAUCUGGAGGAACACCGGUGGCGAAGGCGGCAUCCUGGACCGGCAUUGACGCUGAGGCGGCGAAAAGCUGAGGGGAGCAAACGGGG